rnacentral:lncRNA from 1 species
CAUGACGUUGCCAACUUUCAUUUCAUUAUAUUUGCAUUAAUGUAUACAUGCAAAUGACAAGUUUUCGUUAAAUCAAUUAUCGCUAAACACGAGAGUUUUUAUUUAAUUUGCAUUUGCAAACAUGCUGUUGUAGCCAUUUAAAGUCGGCUUGUUUAGUUUAUCAUGACGACUAGCAGCUCGCCCAUAAUUUAUCUUCGUGUUCUCAGAUGUGAAAAAAAAUUAUUUCAUUUUGAAUAUGCCGGAAUAUCCGUGAAACAGGUUCAACUGAUUCCUUAUAUGAAGGCGUAGUGAUGGCAACAGUAGAUGUCGUAAGUGCAGUUUCAAAACACGUUGACACGCAUAUAGGACACAUCCGUUCGUGACGAUAGAUAUUGGAUCAACACUCUCGGUGACUUGUAGACAUUUGAAUUUGAUCUCUGAACAUCCGUCGGAGAAACAUCACCGCAGUGAAAUCAGCAACGUCUAAGAUUGGAUCUCGUAUACAUACAUAAAUACGAAGAAUUCUUGUACGCAUCUUUCUCGCCUGAAGACGGGACGGCACUUGAUACAAAGAUAUGAAGGAAAAUAGAAUGGAUAUUUCGGUUUUGGCUCUAAUCACCUUGGUUGGGGUUGCUUAUGCAGCAAACGAAACAAUAAAAUCUGGGAAUAUGGAAGACCUGUACCCGAAAUCAUUCAAAUUAGUAGGAGAAGGAGACUUG